rnacentral:rRNA from 1 species
UAUCUCUGUAGAGUCUGCAUAUCAAUAAGCGGAGGAAAAGAAACUAACAAGGAUUCCCUUAGUAACGGCGAGUGAAGCGGGAAGAGCUCAAAUUUGAAAUCUUCAAGGUUCUACCUUGACGAAUUGUAGUUUAAAGAAGUGUUUUCUGUUAGAUGAGUAGCAAAAGUUCCUUGGAAUGGGACAUCAUAGAGGGUGAGAAUCCCGUAUUUGGUUAUUCAUUCUAGCUUUGUGAUACACUUUCAAAGAGUCGGAUUGUUUGGGAAUGCAGUCCAAAAUGGGUGGUAAAUUUCAUCUAAAGCUAAAUAUUGGCGAGAGACCGAUAGCGAACAAGUACCGUGAGGGAAAGAUGAAAAGAACUUUGAAAAGAGAGUUAAACAGUACGUGAAAUUGUCAAAAGGGAAGCGUUUGACACCAGUGUUGUUUUUCCGAAAAUCAAUUACGAAUGGCUUGAUUUUGUGUUGUAUUGACCUUAUCAGCUUUCUUCACUUUUUUCGAGUCUUUCUUAAUGCACUUUUCGGUUAACAAGUCAACAUCAAUUUCUUUUGUUGUAAAAGAGUAUUCGGAAGGUGGCUUUCUUUUCGGAGAAAGUGUUUAUAGCCCUAUACUUCUACAAUCGGAGAGAUUGAGGUCUGCAGCGUAGAUCCUUCGGGGUUAGAUACACUUGUGCUAAGUUGUAGCUUUUCAUAGACAACUUGUUGACUAUGUUUAGUCAUGCGGCUUACUCGCUUAUGCUAUUUUACCUACGCUUAGGAUGUUGACUGAUAUGUAGUCGUA